rnacentral:rRNA from 1 species
AGCGAACGCUGGCGGCAGGCUUAACACAUGCAAGUCGAGCGGGCACUUUCGAGUGUCAGCGGCUGACGGGUGAGUAACGCGUGGAGAAGUGCCCUCGGGUUCGGAAUAACUCAGGGAAACUUGAGCUAAUACCGGAUACGCCCUUUUGGGGAAAGGCUUGCUGCCGGAGGAUCGGCCCGCGUCUGAUUAGCGAGUGGGUGAGGUAACGGCUCACCAAGGCGACGAUCAGGAGCUGGUCUGAGAGGAUGAUCAGCCACACUGGGACUGAGACACGGCCCAGACUCCUACGGGAGGCAGCAGUGGGGAAUAUUGGACGAUGGGCGCAAGCCUGAUCCAGCCAUGCCGCGUGAGUGAUGAAGGCCUUAGGGUUGUAAAGCUCUUUUAUCCGGGACGAUAAUGACGGUACCGGAGGAAUAAGCCCCGGCUAACUUCGUG